UGCCUACGGGGGGCAGCAGUGGGGAAUAUUGCACAAUGGGGGAAACCCUGAUGCAGCAACGCCGCGUGAGUGAAGAAGUAUUUCGGUAUGUAAAGCUCUAUCAGCAGGGAAGAAGAUGACGGUACCUGAGUAAGAAGCUCCGGCUAACUACGUGCCAGCAGCCGCGGUAAUACGUAGGGGGCAAGCGUUAUCCGGAUUUACUGGGUGUAAAGGGAGCGUAGACGGUGAGACAAGUCUGAAGUGAAAGCCCGGGGCUCAACCCCGGGACUGCUUUGGAAACUUUUUUGCUGGAGUACCGGAGAGGG
rnacentral:rRNA from 1 species